AGCGGAGCGUGUGGUUUAAUUCGAUGUUACACGAAGAACCUUACCAGGGUUUGACAUGCAAGUGGUAGGAAGCCGAAAGGUGACCGACCUUCGGGAGCUUGCACAGGUGCUGCAUGGCUGUCGUCAGCUCGUGUCGUGAGAUGUUCGGUUAAGUCCGCUAACGAGCGCAACCCUCGUCGUAUGUUAUAUGUGUCAUACGAGACUGCCGGUAAAAGCCGGAGGAAGGUGAGGAUGAUGUCAAGUCAGCAUGACCUUUAUAUCCAGGGCUACACACACGCUACAAUGGUCUGUACAAUGGGUAGCCAAGCCGCGAGGCGGAGCCAAUCCUGAAAGCAGGCCUCAGUUCAGAUUGCAGGCUGCAACCCGCCUGCAUGAAGAUGGAGUUGCUAGUAACCGCAGGUCAGCUAUACUGCGGUGAAUACGUUCCCGGGGCUU
rnacentral:rRNA from 1 species